rnacentral:rRNA from 1 species
UAGGGAAUCUUCGGCAAUGGGGGCGAACCCUGACCGAGCAACGCCGCGUGAGUGAAGAAGGUUUUCGGAUCGUAAAACUCUGUUGUUAGAGAAGAACGUGUGUGAGAGUGGAAAGUUCACACAGUGACGGUAACUUACCAGAAAGGGACGGCUAACUACGUGCCAA